rnacentral:rRNA from 1 species
UACGGAGGGAGCUAGCGUUAUUCGGAAUUACUGGGCGUAAAGCGCACGUAGGCGGCUUUGUAAGUAAGAGGUGAAAGCCCAGAGCUCAACUCUGGAAUUGCCUUUUAGACUGCAUCGCUUGAAUCAUGGAGAGGUCAGUGGAAUUCCGAGUGUAGAGGUGAAAUUCGUAGAUAUUCGGAAGAACACCAGUGGCGAAGGCGGCUCACUGGCCCGGUACUGACGCUGAGGUGCGAAAGCGUGGGGAGCAAACAGGG